rnacentral:rRNA from 1 species
GAGUUUGAUUCUGGCUCAGAGUGAACGCUGGCGGCGUGCCUAAUACAUGCAAGUCGAACGGACAAGUAAGAGCUUGCUCUUAUGAGUUAGUGGCGCACGGGUGAGUAAUGUAUAGCUAAUCUGCCCUACACUAGAGGACAACAGUUGGAAACGACUGCUAAUACUCUAUACUCCUUCUUUACAUAAGUUGAGUCGGGAAAGUUUUUCGGUGUAGGAUGAGGCUAUAUCGUAUCAGCUAGUUGGUAAGGUAAUGGCUUACCAAGGCUAUGACGCGUAACUGGUCUGAGAGGAUGAUCAGUCACACUGGAACUGAGACACGGUCCAGACUCCUACGGGAGGCAGCAGUAGGGAAUAUUGCUCAAUGGGGGAAACCCUGAAGCAGCAACGCCGCGUGGAGGAUGACACUUUUCGGAGCGUAAACUCCUUUUCUUGGGAAAGAAUUAUGACCGUACCCAGGNNGCC